GGCAAAUAGUAUUUCAUUACAUUUUCCAGAGCGCAUGACUGUUAAUCAUGAUGUCACUGGUUCGAGCCCAGUUGGGGGAGCCA
rnacentral:tRNA from 1 species